rnacentral:rRNA from 1 species
AUGGCUCAGGACGAACGCUGGCGGCGUGCUUCAUACAUGCAAGUCGAACGAUAAGGCGUCUUCGGACGUACAUAAGUGGCGGACGGGUGAGUAAAAUGUAGAGAAUCUGCCCUAGAGAGGGGGACAACCGUUGGAAACGACAGCUAAUACCCCAUAUGAGCGUAGCUGAAAUGCUAUUCUUGAAAACUCCGGUGCUCUGGGAUGAGUCUGCAUCUGAUUAGCUAGUUGGGGGUGUAAUGGACCACCAAGGCGAUGAUCAGUAGCUGGUUUGAGAGGAUGAUCAGCCACAAUGGGACUGAGACACGGCCCAUACUCCUACGGGAGGCAGCAGUAGGGAAUUUUGCGCAAUGGGGGAAACCCUGAACCGCAGCAACGCCGCGUGACCGAUGAAGCCCUUCGGGGUGUAAAGGUCUGUCAGUGGGGACGAACAAUGACGGUACCCACAGAGGAAGCACCGGCUAACUCCGUGCCAGCAGCAGC